UGGGAUUAGGGAUAACAUGAAGUUUCCCCUCAGAACCCGUUGAACGUGAAAAAAUGAAGGGGGAGCGGGGAAGUGAAAUCCCUAAAUCCCCAAUCCGUUAUCUCCUUCGUCUCCGGCAGCGGCAGUGGGUUCUCGCCGACGAGAGGUGGUGAUGGUGCUCCAUGUCGACCUCUAUUCUUAUCCUCUCCAUCUCAUUUCUUCGCAACCUCUCCUCUCUUCUCUUUCGUUUCGGUAGCGAUGGCAACGCCAGGCAGUAGCGGAGGUUGUGACGAAAGGCAGCGGCGACGACUAGGAAAGGCAUUAAUGGCGAGUUAUCCUUCUCCAAUUAUGUUAUGCGACCCUUGAUGAUGAUAUGCGGUGAUUUCCAACCUUAAUUGAAUCUAAACCGUGAAGGUGGAAGGAAGCUACCCAAUCGACCUCGCUCAGCAAGAACCACCCAUUGUAACGGUAGUUCGAAAGUUUUAUGAUGGAGAGCUUCUUUAGAAGAACACUAAAGUACCGAGGGUCCCUUGUUGCAUUUGCUAGUUGUUAUACCAAUGGAUACUGUUAGGUACAAUGCUCCAAUGAUCAAGCAAAUCCUGUCAUAGAUGUCUUAACAACAAAGAAAGUUUUGUCCAUGAGAAUUACACCUGGUUGCCUUGACUAUAAUUUGAGCAACGAAUUCUUCUCAAAUUAAUGUGAAACAAAUUGUACAAUAUUGGUGUCAAAUGUAAAGAGUGAAAACAGAGAUCUCUAUGCACAUAAAUGACCUUCUUAUCAAGAAAUAACUUGGUCAUUAUUAUCCUCUUAUUAGAACAUUGGUCUUUGGAUUGCUAACUGUAGCUUAGUUGUUGACAUACUACAACAACUUGUAU